rnacentral:lncRNA from 1 species
AAAGUGGAGCGGUUGGAGGUGGAGGUAUUUGUCUGUCUGUGACGCUGCAGCUGAGAUGUCCACAACCUUGAGUGAAUUUAUUAACCUGUUUGCCUGCCUUGACAUGAAAACAUCGCAGCCUGAAGUCCAUGAUUUUCAACCAGCAGUCAGUGUGGUUGGAGAAAUGGAAGCAAGAGUAUUGCUGGGUUGGAAAGGCUACCCAGAAUCUGCCAGGAGCUGUGGGUCUUGGUGUUCUCGAGUGUGAGCUAUUGUCCCCACCCUGGGGAUGACUGUGGUGAACCCUUGGAGAUGGGACAAGUGUUCCUAGCACAGGAAGUGCACCAUGAAGAACUGGGCUGCAGUAGCUUGUUAUGCCAAUGGAAACCUUACUAGUGGUGGUGACAAAGUCCAGGACAGAUCUGCAGAGGACAAGAAAGCAUUAAGGUGCAGUUCUCUAAGAGGUACCCGAGUCCGAUUUCAUUGGAAGUCCAUGAUAGUCAUAUCAACUCCACCAAUUUCAGAAGAGCUGAGGCCAGCUGCAGGACUGAUCCAACAUGCAAACCCCAAGCCCUGUUCCAGGAAGGGAAGGACAUCAUUGGCUAAAAUUCCUUACAGACUUGCAGAUAGACCUUGGCGUGCCAAAUGGACAUGGAGGGACUUCUCAGGGAGAACGUGGAAUAAUUUGGAUGAUCUAAGAGGUCUUUUCCAACCUUGGUGAUUCCACGAUUGCCUGCUGCUGGGACCAUCAGCGCCUACAAGCACCCAGCUUUGGUAGAACAAAUCCAAGUACUUCAAUUUCAGCUGUCACACCAGCAAUCCUUGAUCUCAGACAUCCCAGCCUGGCCCUGCUCCUGCUUGCACACUUCUAUGGAUCCAACACGCGCGCACACAGAACAUCCUGUGUGAAUUCUGGGAGUUCUUUCAGCAGAGCUCAGCAGUAACACUGAGGCAGUGCUAGGCACUCAGGCCUAACAGCCUCAGACAUCAUCCCAAGCAUCUGCCUGUGUUAUCUUCCUAUGGCAUCGAAACACUUCUGGAAAAACAGGCAGAUGUAGUACCACAGUCACACCUCAGCUUGAAGUCAUCUCCGCCCCCCAUCCUUCUCAAUUUACGGUUAAGAACUAUCUGCUAAGGCAGAACACCAAAAUACUUAUCUAGUUCUGAAGCUGUCAAAAACAUUAAAAGACAUCAGAGACUCCAUUGCAGCUUUAGAAAGAAAGAAAUAAUUGUAGUUGUGGUAUUGGUAAACCUACGAGGGUUUUCUCUUAAUACUUCUAGCUACCACACAACCACAAGAACUGUCAUGAUAUGCAUUUUUCCUUUUGGGUAUAACCCAUACAAGCUAUCCCAUAUGCUAAAAGAUUGAUGCUUAAUACCUUUUUCCAGAUGUGCCCUGGGUUUAGCUACAUACUUAACACAUAUGCAGUCUAUAAUUGCAUUAAUACUUCAGACCCAUGUCCAGGUGAGUAAGGCUGCCCACAUCACCUGCUCCCAUCGGUGACGAACAGAGAUCUGACACAUUGCCUUUAUAAACCACCUCUCAAACCUCCCUGACUGCUUGCUGAUCACGCUGGAUAGCAUUUAAGCAGCUACACAUCCCCAACCCUGCUGAUAUGUGCAGCUUGCUUUUUAACUGCUGAAUUCAGUGCUGUUAAUAUAUAGUUUUACCUUUCUUUUCUGUGCAUUUCCACAAUCGCUCAAAACACCCAACCUGUCAGAGUUGAAUGGAAGGUCGAUCCCUGAAGAGGUGGUGAACACCUCCACAAAAACAGAACACAAAAGCAAUUCCCUCAUGAGAUGACUGGCAAAUGCUAACAUUAAAAGCAUUGAGAACAGCUGAUAAAAUUAUUUAAAUACUGACAUCUGACUUCAUAGAAUGUAACUUAAGGCAUGUUCUCACUAAGCAGUACUUGGAAAAAUCCUGGAUGACAUUUGGAAAGACUGUCUCCACAAAUAGGAAGAUGCAUUCACUCCCCUCAACAAUCCCAUCCUUACUAUUCAGAGGUAAACCAGAGCAGUAAGAAAAUGAAAUCCCAUUUGAGAUGUGGUCAGGAGUCCAUUGGGUUACUCCAACCCAAUCCAGGGCUGCUCUGGGCAAUACAGCACACCAACUCACACCCCCUCCAGAAGGGACCACCAAAGAUCUCAGAAGUACUGUAGGCUCA